rnacentral:rRNA from 1 species
UUUAAUUUUGAACGAGUGGCGGACGGGUGAGUAACACGUGGGUAACCUGCCCUUAAGUGGGGGAUAACAUUUGGAAACAGAUGCUAAUACCGCAUAAAUCCAAGAACCGCAUGGUUCUUGGCUGAAAGAUGGCGUAAGCUAUCGCUUUUGGAUGGACCCGCGGCGUAUUAGCUAGUUGGUGAGGUAACGGCUCACCAAGGCAAUGAUACGUAGCCGAACUGAGAGGUUGAUCGGCCACAUUGGGACUGAGACACGGCCCAAACUCCUACGGGAGGCAGCAGUAGGGAAUCUUCCACAAUGGACGCAAGUCUGAUGGAGCAACGCCGCGUGAGUGAAGAAGGCUUUCGGGUCGUAAAACUCUGUUGUUGGAGAAGAAUGGUCGGCAGAGUAACUGUUGUCGGCGUGACGGUAUCCAACCAGAAAGCCACGGCUAACUACGUGCCAGCAGCCGCGGUA